UGCAAGUCGAACGAGAGAGAAGGAGCUUGCUUCUUCGAUCGAGUGGCGAACGGGUGAGUAACGCGUGAGGAACCUGGCUCAAAGAGGGGGACAACAGUUGGAAACGACUGCUAAUACCGCAUAAGCCCACGGGUCGGCAUCGACCUGAGGGAAAAGGAGCAAUCCGCUUUGAGAUGGCCUCGCGUCCGAUUAGCUAGUUGGUGAGGUAACGGCCCACCAAGGCGACGAUCGGUAGCCGGACUGAGAGGUUGAACGGCCACAUUGGGACUGAGACACGGCCCAGACUCCUACGGGAGGCAGCAGUGGGGAAUAUUGCACAAUGGGGGAAACCCUGAUGCAGCGACGCCGCGUGGAGGAAGAAGGUCUUCGGAUUGUAAACUCCUGUUGUUGAGGAAGAUAAUGACGGUACUCAACAAGGAAGUGACGGCUAACUACGUGCCAGCAGCCGCGGUAAAACGUAGGUCACAAGCGUUGUCCGGAAUUACUGGGUGUAAAGGGAGCGUAGGCGGGAAGACAAGUUGGAAGUGAAAUCUAUGGGCUCAACCCAUAAACUGCUUUCAAAACUGUUUUUCUUGAGUAGUGCAGAGGUAGGCGGAAUUCCCGGUGUAGCGGUGGAAUGCGUAGAUAUCGGGAGGAACACCAGUGGCGAAGGCGGCCUACUGGGCACCAACUGACGCUGAGGCUCGAAAGUGUGGGUAGCAAACAGGAUUAGAUACCCUGGUAGUCCACACCGUAAACGAUGAUUACUAGGUGUUGGAGGAUUGACCCCUUCAGUGCCGCAGUUAACACAAUAAGUAAUCCACCUGGGGAGUACGACCGCA
rnacentral:rRNA from 1 species